AAAGAAUACAUAGAGAUUUUGAAACAAGAAGUGUGAAACAAAUCCUUGUUCUGCUCAGGCCCCCAGCUGUGCAACAUGAUCUAAAACUGUUAAUUAGACUUGUAAUACUUUGACAGAUUCUUCCAGCUGACCUAACCCUGAGAUGUAAAAUAUGUGAUGUCCACACAACUAUGCUUGCAACUGUCACCCGCUUCAAACUUUUUAAGAAUUAACCCUGGGGGUUUGCCCUUUUCCCACGGUGAACUGAACUAAUUUGCAAUGUUGUCAGACUGCAAAGCAGUGAGAAAAAAAGCUAGUACUUAUCUUACAUUUAGG